rnacentral:rRNA from 1 species
GAUGAACGCUGACAGAAUGCUUAACACAUGCAAGUCAACUUGAACUUCGGUUUGGGUGGCGGACGGGUGAGUAACGCGUAAAGAACUUGCCUCACAGCUAGGGACAACAUUUGGAAACGAAUGCUAAUACCUGAUAUUAUGAUUAUAUGGCAUCGUAUAAUUAUGAAAGCUAUAUGCGCUGUGAGAGAGCUUUGCGUCCCAUUAGCUAGUUGGAGAGGUAACGGCUCACCAAGGCGAUGAUGGGUAGCCGGCCUGAGAGGGUGAUCGGCCACAAGGGGACUGAGACACGGCCCUUACUCCUACGGGAGGCAGCAGUGGGGAAUAUUGGACAAUGGACCGAGAGUCUGAUCCAGCAAUUCUGUGUGCACGAUGAAGUUUUUCGGAAUGUAAAGUGCUUUCAGUUGGGAAGAAAAAAAUGACGGUACCAACAGAAGAAGUGACGGCUAAAUACGUG